CCAGCAGCUGCGGUAAUUCCAGCUCCAAUAGCGUAUAUUAAAGUUGUUGCAGUUAAAAAGCUCGUAGUUGAACCUUAGGCAAGACGGCCUGGUCACCCACUGGGUGUACUGGGCUCGUCGCGCCUCACCUGCGGGGAACUAGUCGUGCUUCGGUGCGCUAGGGAACCGCGCCUUACUUUGAAGAAAUUAGAGUGUUUAAAGCAGGCUUAUGCUUGAAUACAUCAGCAUGGAAUAACAUGAUAGGACUUUGGUUCUAUUUUGUUGGUUUGAGGACCAAAGUAAUGAUUAAUAGGGCCAGUCGGGGGCAUUAGUAUUCUAUAGUCAGAGGUGAAAUUCUUGGAUUUAUAGAA
rnacentral:rRNA from 1 species